rnacentral:lncRNA from 1 species
CUCUGCACCUCACGUUUGGCCCUGGCUCUCUUUCGGGAAAUCCUGGGGAAGCCAAGAGGAACGAAGUAAGAACCUCAGGCUGCCUGAAUGAAGUUUUUCUUAUAAGAAUACUCCAGUGCUAA